AUUGAACGCUGGCGGCAGGCUUAACACAUGCAAGACGAACGAUGAAGAUAUAGCUUGCUAUAUCGGAUUAGUGGCGGACGGGUGAGUAACACUUAGGAAUCUACCUUUUAGCGGGGGAUAGCUCGGGGAAACUCGAAUUAAUACCGCAUAAUUUCUACGGAAUAAAGAGGGCUUUUAGCUCUCACUAGAAGAUGAGCCUAAGUAAGAUUAGCUAGUUGGUGGGGUAAAAGCCUACCAAGGCGACGAUCUUUAGCUGGUCUGAGAGGAUGAUCAGCCACACUGGGACUGAGACACGGCCCAGACUCCUACGGGAGGCAGCAGUGGGGAAUAUUGGACAAUGGGGGCAACCCUGAUCCAGCCAUGCCGCGUGUGUGAAGAAGGCCUUUUGGUUGUAAAGCACUUUAAGCAGUGAAGAAGACCUAUUGGUUAAUACCCAAUAGCGAUGACAUUAACUGCAGAAUAAGCACCGGCUAACUCUGUGCCAGCAGCCGCGGUAAUACAGAGGGUGCAAGCGUUAAUCGGAAUUACUGGGCGUAAAGCGAGCGUAGGUGGUUAAAUAAGUCAGAUGUGAAAGCCCUGGGCUCAACCUAGGAACGGCAUCUGAAACUAUUUAACUAGAGUAGGUGAGAGGGAAGUAGAAUUUCAGGUGUAGCGGCGAAAUGCGUAGAGAUCUGAAGGAAUACCGAUGGCGAAGGCAGCUUCCUGGCAUCAUACUGACACUGAGGCUCGAAAGCGUGGGUAGCAAACAGG
rnacentral:rRNA from 1 species